AGCAGCCGCGGUAAUUCCAGCUCCAAUAGCGUAUAUUAAAGUUGUUGCAGUUAAAAAGCUCGUAGUUGAAUUUCGGGAUCGACGGGUCGGUCGCGCCUCUGGUGUGUACUGGCCCUGUCGGUUUCUCCCUUCUGACGAACCACGAUGUCAUUAAUUUGGUGUCGUGGGAAAUCAGGACUGUUACUUUGAAAAAAUUAGAGUGUUUAAAGCAGGCAUUCGCUUGAAUACAUUAGCAUGGAAUAAUGAAAUAGGACGUUUGAUCUUAUUUUGUUGGUUUCUAAGAUCGACGUAAUGAUUAAUAGGGAUAGUUGGGGGCAUUAGUAUUCAAUUGUCAGAGGUGAAAUUCUUGGAUUUAUUGAAGACUAACUACUGCGAAAGCAUUUGCCAAGGAUGUUUUCAUUAAUCAAGAACGAAAGUUAGGGGAUCGAAGACGAUCAGAUACCGUCGUAGUCUUAACCAUAAACUAUGCCGACUAGGGAUCGGGUGAUGUUAAUUUUUAAUGACUCAUUCGGCGCCUUAC
rnacentral:rRNA from 1 species